rnacentral:rRNA from 1 species
GACGAACGCUGGCGGCGUGGAUUAGGCAUGCAAGUCGAACGGUAUCAUCCUUUCGGGGGUGAGAGAGUGGCGAACUGGUGAGUAACACGUAGGUUAUCUACCCUCAAGACGGGGACAACCCAGGGAAACUUGGGCUAAUACCGGAUGUGAGCAACUUUUAGUUGUUUGAAAGGUGGCGUAAGCUGCCGUUUGGGGAUGAGCCUGCGCUCUAUUAGUUAGUUGGCGGGGUAAAGGCCCACCAAGGCGAUGAUAGAUAGGCGGCCUUAACGGGUGGUCGCCCACACUGGGAUUGAGAUACGGCCCAGACUCCUACGGGAGGCAGCAGUCGAGAAUAGUCUACAAUGGCCGAAAGGCUGAUAGUGCGACGCCGCGUGAACGAAGAAGCCCUUCGGGGUGUAAAGUUCUUUUAUAUGUGAGCAGUGCUUUCUAUGUGAACAGCAUGGGGAGAGAGAUAUUAGCAUAUGAAUAAGCAACGGCUAACUCCGUGCCAGCACGCCGACGGUAAA